GAUGAACGCUGGCGGCGUGCCUAAUACAUGCAAGUCGAGCGAAUGGAUUAAGAGCUUGCUCUUAUGAAGUUAGCGGCGGACGGGUGAGUAACACGUGGGUAACCUGCCCAUAAGACUGGGAUAACUCCGGGAAACCGGGGCUAAUACCGGAUAAUAUUUUGAACUGCAUGGUUCAAAAUUGAAAGGCGGCUUCGGCUGUCACUUAUGGAUGGACCCGCGUCGCAUUAGCUAGUUGGUGAGGUAACGGCUCACCAAGGCAACGAUGCGUAGCCGACCGGGGAGGGUGAUCGGCCACACGGGGACUGAGCCACGGCCCAGACGCCUACGGGAGGCAGCAGUAGGGAAUCUUCCGUAAUGGACGAAAGUCUAACGGAGCAACGCCGCGUGAGUGAUGAAGGCUUUCGGGUCAUAAAACUCUGUUGUUAGGGAAGAACAAGUGCUAGUUGAAUAAGCUGGCACCUUGACGGUACCUAACCAGAAAGCCACGGCUAACUACGUGCCAGCAGCCGCGGUAA
rnacentral:rRNA from 1 species